rnacentral:rRNA from 1 species
GCCUACGGGGGGCAGCAGUGAGGAAUAUUGGUCAAUGGGCGGGAGCCUGAACCAGCCAAGUCGCGUGAAGGAAGAAGGUACUUAGUAUUGUAAACUUCUUUUGUCGGGGAACAAAGGCGGAGACGCGUCUCCGGAUGAGUGUACCCGAAGAAAAAGCAUCGGCUAACUCCGUGCCAGCAGCCUCGGUAAUACGGAGGAUCCAAGCGUUAUCCGGAUUUAUUGGGUUUAAAGGGUGCGUAGGCGGAUUGAUAAGUUAGAGGUGAAAUGUCCGAGCUUAACUCGGGAACUGCCUCUAAUACUGUUGA